UAAUAUAUAACCAAUUUUUUCGAGCGCGAGCAAACUGUAGCUUAAAUAAACCAAUGUUUAUGAAUUCAAAGUGAACGCAUAAAUCAUCCACCUCUGUAACCAACAUAAUUUAAUCACGAUCCUAUUAUAUUUAAUUAUGUUUCUAUAGGCCAGGUUCAUCAGUGUAACUGUGCAACGGAACUGAGAAUAAAUAAUCCAAUUCGACUACUCAUUAAGUAUGCAGCAACA